rnacentral:lncRNA from 1 species
AAAUUAAAUAUUAUCCGAUUCACUUUCACCCCUAGCUGAUAGAAUUUAAUUAUGACAAUGUUAAUUCACUAAAAAGAUGGAAUAAGUUUAUUUCUUGUUAAAUAAAGUAUUUGCUUGCAUUGUUAGCUUGAUUUAACUAUAUCCAAUCAAACUAGUAUCAACUGGGAUUGCAAUUACAAUGUUACUCAUUUGUCCCAUUAUGUGUGAUUUAGAAGUUUUAGAAUUAAAGCAAUAUUUCUUUAGCAAGAGGGAGAGA